GUUUAUUGGUUUUGUUUACAAGCUUCAACAUCAAUAAAAUCUCCAGCACAUUUACAGCCUGUAUUGUAAACUACACUGAAAACAUACUUUACACACAAUUUUCAGCUCAGUAUUAUAUUAUCCUCUUCAUUCAAGUAAUAUGUAAACUCUUCUCGAAUGUAAAACGAACGACCUACUCUGAACAGUAACCCAAAUAUGGCACUGUGUAUUCAGUUGAAUAGCCAAUCAUUUCAAAUCAAGUUGAGCGGGUUUGCAUCGUAAUUUUGACGAAGUUUGAAACCAGUGGUAAUUUUUUGACACAGCAUCUAGAUUUAAGAAGAUUCUUGCCUGGACAACUGCUCGAACUCCCGGGAUGGCAUGCUCUAAAGGUAUAGUGAAUUCAGUAUGCAGAUUGUUGAAGGGAAAACAUCAAGACGGGGCGAGGAAGACAACAAAACAUGAUUACCCAGAUUGAGGAUCCCAGUGUUCUUUGCCUCAAGCUACUCAGCCUACCAUGAGAAAAUUAAAAGAUCUGUCAUGAAGAAGAGGCGGGUUCUCAACUUUCAUAUUAUAAAUGGCAA